rnacentral:rRNA from 1 species
AUGAGUAGGCAUGUUUUCAACCGUAUUAGAGAGGGAGUGGUCGGCUAUGAUGACUACUUCGAGUGCAAAGAGGAUGCCGUCGGCAAGAUUGGUUUCUCCUCUUAUCAGAAAUGCACUGCCGCCAUCCGAAUGCUUGCAUACGGAGUGCCCGGUGAUCUCAUUGACGAGUACAUCCGUAUGAGCGAGUCUACGUGCCUAGAGUCCCUGUAUAAGUUCUGCAAGGCUGUGAUUGCUGUGUUUGGCCCUGAGUACUUGAGAGAGCCGACAGCUGAAGAUACAGCCCGUUUGUUGGCGAUGAAUGCCAGCAGGGGCUUCCCGGGGAUGCUUGGCAGCAUAGACUGCAUGCACUGGGAGUGGAAGAACUGCCCUUCUGCUUGGCAAGGGCAGUAUAAGGGAUAUGUCAGGGCUUGCACUGUCAUACUAGAGGCCGUGGCGUCUCAAGAUCUCUGGAUCUGGCACUCUUUCUUUGGCAUGGCUGGAUCACACAAUGAUAUCAACGUGCUUCAGCGCUCGCCGGUGUUUGAUAGGCUUGCCGAAGGCAGCAGCCCACCGGUGAACUUUACUGUCAAUGGCCACAACUACGACAAAGGGUACUAUUUGGGUGACGGUAUCUAUCCUCAGUGGACCACUAUUGUCAAGACAAUACCCAACCCUGUCGGAGAAAAAAGGAAAAGAUUUGCCCAAGAGCAAGAGAGUGCUAGAAAGGAUGUCGAGCGUGCCUUUCGUGUUUUGCAAUCUCGAUGGGGCAUCGUUCGGUAUCCUGCUAAUACUUGGACCACGCAGAAACUAUGGGAGGUGAUGACUGCUUGUGUGAUCAUGCACAAUAUGAUCGUAGAAGACGAGCGCCCGGAACGUCUGUACGAUCAAGGCUUUCAGUUUCAGGGUGAGAAUGUUGUGCCUGAGCAUGGAGUAGCGGCAACAUUUGAGCGGUUCACUCAGUUUCAUGAAGACAUGCGUGAUUGGGAAACUCACGUGCAACUGCAAAAUGAUUUGGUUGAGUAUAUGUGGACUCAUGUUGGCAACCAAUAG